GACGAACGCUGGCGGCGUGCUUAACACAUGCAAGUCGAACGGAAAGGCCCUGCUUUUGUGGGGUGCUCGAUUGGCGAACGGGUGAGUAACACGUGAGUAACCUGCCCUUGACUUUGGGAUAACUUCAGGAAACUGGGGCUAAUACCGGAUAGGAGCUCCUGCUGCAUGGUGGGGGUUGGAAAGUUUCGGCGGUUGGGGCUUGUCUCGCGGCUUAUCAGCUUGUUGGUGGGGUAGUGGCUUACCAAGGCUUUGACGGGUAGCCGGCCUGAGAGGGGUACCGGGCACAAGGGGACGGAGAUACGGACCAGACUGGAACGGGAGGCAGCAGUGGGGAAUAUUGCACAAUGGGCGGAAGCCUGAUGCAGAAACGCCGCGUGCGGGAUGACGGCCUUCGGGUUGUAAACCGAUUUCGCCUGUGACGAAGCGUGAGUGACGGUAAUGGGUAAAGAAGCACCGGCUAACUACGUG
rnacentral:rRNA from 1 species